AUUGAACGCUGGCGGCAGGCUUAACACAUGCAAGUCGAGCGAGCGGCGGACGGGUGAGUAAUGUCUGGGAACCUGCCUGAUGGAGGGGGAUAACUCCUGGAAACGGUAGCUAAUACCGCCUACCAUCAGCUGUGCCCAGAUGGGCUUAGCUAGUAGGUUGGGUAAUGGCUCACCUAGGCGACGAUCCCUAGCUGGUCUGAGCGGAUGACCAGCCACACUGGAAAUGAGACACGGCCCAGACUCCUACGGGAGGCAGCAGUGGGGAAGAGUGCACAAUGGGCGCAAGCCGAAUGCAGCCAUGCCGCGUGGGUGAAGAAGGCCUUCGGGUUGUAAAGCACUGUCAGCGAGGAGGCGUUACUCGCAGAAGAAGCACCGGCUAACUCCGUGCCAGCAGCCGCGGUAAUAC
rnacentral:rRNA from 1 species